rnacentral:rRNA from 1 species
UACGGGGGGAGCAAGCGUUGUUCGGAUUUACUGGGCGUAAAGGGCGCGUAGGCGGUCAGCACAAGUCAGUUGUGAAAUCUCCGAGCUUAACUCGGAAAGGUCAACUGAUACUGUGCGACUAGAGUGCAGAAGGGGCAACUGGAAUUCUCGGUGUAGCGGUGAAAUGCGUAGAUAUCGAGAGGAACACCUGCGGCGAAGGCGGGUUGCUGGGCAUUAACUGACGCUGAGGAGCGAAAGCAUGGGGAGCGAACAGG